rnacentral:rRNA from 1 species
UACGAAGGUGGCAAGCGUUACUCGGAAUUACUAGGCGUAAAGGGCAGGUAGGUGGUUUGAUAAGUCUGUUGUGAAAGCCCCCGGCUUAACUGGGAGAGGUCAACAGAUACUGUCGAACUUGAGUAUAGGAGAGGGUACUGGAAUUCCUGGUGUAGCGGUGAAAUGCGCAGAGAUCAGGAGGAACACCGAUGGCGAAAGCAGGUACCUGGACUAUUACUGACACUCAGCUGCGAAAGCUAGGGGAGCAAACAGG